AUUCCCCAAAUUCCCAAAAUUAUCCCAAAAUAAAUCCCAAAAAAAGCCCCAAAAAAUCCCCCCCAAAAACCAAAAAAAUUCCCAAAAAUAUCCCAAAAAAUCCCAAAAAAUUCCUAAAAAUCCCCAAAAAUUCCAAAAAAAUCCCCCCAAAAAUAAAGAAAAAAUUCCCAAAAAUCCACCCAAAAAAUCCAAAAAUUCACCAAAAAAAUCCCAAAAAAUCACCAAAAAACCCCAAUUUUAUCCCAUUUUUUUCUGGAUUUUCCCGCUCCAGCUGUGCCCAGCUGUGCCCAGGUGUGCCCAGGUGUGACAGGUGUGCCCAGGUGUGUCUCAGCCACAUCUCCAUGGUCUCACACCCCAAAAAAAUCCCCAAAAAUCACCAAAAAAUCCCCAAAAAUCCCCAAAAAUUCUAAUUUUAUCCCAUUUUUUUCUGGAUUUUCCCGCUCCAGCUGUGCCCAGGUGUGCCCAGGUGUGUCCAGGUGUGCCCAGGUGUGUCCAGGUGUGUCUCAGCCACAUCUCCAUGGUCUCACACCCCAAAAAAAUCACCAAAAAUCCCAAAAAAUCACCAAAAAUUCCAAUUUUAUCCCAUUUUUUCCCGGAUUUUCCCGCUCCAGGUGUGCCCAGGUGUGCCCAGGUGUGUCCAGGUGUGCCCAGGUGUGUCUCAGCCACAUCUCCACGCUGUCAAACCCCAAAAUAUCCCCCAAAAAAUCACCAAAAACCACCAAAAAUCACAAAAAAUCACCAAAAAUUCCAAUUUUAUCCCAUUUUUUUCCGGAUUUUCCCGCUCCAGCUGUGCCCAGCUGUGCCCAGGUGUGCCCAGGUGUGCCCCCAGGUGCGUCACUGCUCCAGCAUCAGCUCGCAGGCGCGGGCCAGCUCGGCCAGGCGCCGCCGGGCGUAGUCCAGCCGGUUCAGCGCCAGCUGGCAGCUCUUGCGCGCGGCGUAGCUCGAGCCCUCGUGGGGCUGCCCCGUGGCCACCUGGGCAGGUGAGAAACGCACCUGAGACACCCGAAACGCACCUGGGGAGCCCCAAAACUCACCUGGGGAGCCUAAAAUCCACCUGGGGAGCCCCCAAAACCCCCCAAAACCAACCUGAGACACCGGAAACGCACUUGGGGAGCCCCAAAAACCCCAAAAUUCCACCCAAAACGCAGCUGGGGAGC
rnacentral:lncRNA from 1 species